rnacentral:tRNA from 1 species
GCGCCCGUGGCGGAACUGGAAUACGCGUGGGGUUUAGGACCCCAUCUCCUCACGGAGUUACAGGUUCAAAUCCUGUCGGGCGCACCA